CGCGUAGGCUGUGCUGUAAGUCAGGCGUGAAAGGCCCGGGCUCAACCUGGGAAUGGCGCUUGACACUGCGGUGCUGGAAUGCGGGAGAGGAUGGCGGAAUUCCCAGUGUAGAGGUGAAAUUCGUAGAUAUUGGGAAGAACACCGGUGGCGAAGGCGGCCAUCUGGCCCGCGAUUGACGCUGAGGCGCGAAAGCGUGGGGAGCAAACA
rnacentral:rRNA from 1 species